CCCCGGCUAACUACGUGCCAGCAGCCGCGGUAAUACGUAGGCGGCGAGCGUUGUUCGGAAUUACUGGGCGUAAAGGGUGUGUAGGCGGUGCUCUAAGUCCGGUGUGAAAUCUCCGGGCUCAACUGGGAGGGUGCGCCCGAAACUGGAGUGCUUGAGUGUGGGAGAGGAAAGUGGAAUUCCUGGUGUAGCGGUGAAAUGCGUAGAUAUCAGGAGGAACACCUGUGGUGAAGGCGGCUUUCUGGACCAUUACUGACGCUGAGACACGAAAGCGUGGGUAGCAAACAGGAUUAGAUACCCUGGUAGUCCACGCCCUAAACGAUGCAUACUUGGUGUGGGC
rnacentral:rRNA from 1 species